GACGAACGCUGGCGGCAAGCUUAACACAUGCAAGUCGAACGCCGUAGCAAUACGGAGUGGCAGACGGGUGAGUAACACGUGGGAACGUGCCUUUCGGUUCGGAACAACUGAGGGAAACUUCAGCUAAAACCGGAUACGCCCUUCGGGGGAAAGUUUACGCCGAAAGAUCGGCCCGCGUCAGAUUAGGUAGUUGGCGGGGUAAUGGCCCACCAAGCCGAUGAUCUGUAGCUGUUCUGAGAGGAAGAUCAGCCACACUGGGACUGAGACACGGCCCAGACUCCUACGGGAGGCAGCAGUGGGGAAUAUUGGGCAAUGGGCGCAAGCCUGAUCCAGCUAUGCCGCGUGGAUGAAGAAGGCCUUCGGGUUGUAAAGUCCUUUCGGCGGGGAAGAUAAUGACGGUACCCGCAGAAGAAGCCCCGGCUAAUUUCGUGCCAGCCGCCGCAGUAAAAC
rnacentral:rRNA from 1 species